UUCAGGUUGAAAACUUUGAAGGAGGGAUCUGUGUUUUGCCAAGGAAGUGCCUUCAAUUCCCAGUGGUCACCUCAAGAUCAUGUUCUCAUCUGAUGAAGAAAUGUCUUUUCUCAUCAUGUGGGAAUUCAUCUCACUGGAUAUGAUUUGCUUGGUUGGUAUUACAUUCUGAGACAGCCCUGCCACCAUGUCUGGAUCAAGUCAUUCACUGUCAAUGUCUCCAUUGCCUUUAAUUUGGCACUUGAAUGAUUUCAAACAAUGAAAACAUGUUGAGUGACGACGAUGGUUAUAAUGCCCUGCAUUACUGAACAAUAAAAAUUAUUGAAGCA